AGUGAACGCUGGCGGUAGGCCUAACACAUGUAAGUCGAACGGCAGCACAGUAAGAGCUUGCUCUUACGGGUGGCGAGUGGCGGACGGGUGAGGAAUACAUCGGAAUCUACUUUUUCGUGGGGGAUAACGUAGGGAAACUUACGCUAAUACCGCAUACGACCUACGGGUGAAAGCAGGGGAUCUUCGGACCUUGCGCGAUUGAAUGAGCCGAUGUCGGAUUAGCCAGUUGGCGGGGUAAAGGCCCACCAAGGCGACGAUCCGUAGCUGGUCUGAGAGGAUGAUCAGCCACACUGGAACUGAGACACGGUCCAGACUCCUACGGGAGGCAGCAGUGGGGAAUAUUGGACAAUGGGCGCAAGCCUGAUCCAGCCAUACCGCGUGGGUGAAGAAGGCCUUCGGGUUGUAAAGCCCUUUUGUUGGGAAAGAAAAGCAGCAGGUUAAUACCCCGCUGUUCUGACGGUACCCAAAGAAUAAGCACCGGCUAACUUCGUG
rnacentral:rRNA from 1 species